rnacentral:sRNA from 1 species
CUUGGUCAUUUAGAGGAAGUAAAAGUCGUAACAAGGUCUCCGUUGGUGAACCAGCGGAGGGAUCAUUACCGAGUUAUACAACUCAUCAACCCUGUGAACAUACCUAAAACGUUGCUUCGGCGGGAACAGACGGCCCUGUAACAACGGGCCGCCCCCGCCAGAGGACCCCUAACUCUGUUUUUAUAAUGUUUUUCUGAGUAAACAAGCAAAUAAAUUAAAACUUUCAACAACGGAUCUCUUGGCUCUGGCAUCGAUGAAGAACGCAGCGAAAUGCGAUAAGUAAUGUGAAUUGCAGAAUUCAGUGAAUCAUCGAAUCUUUGAACGCACAUUGCGCCCGCCAGUAUUCUGGCGGGCAUGCCUGUUCGAGCGUCAUUACAACCCUCAGGCCCCCGGGCCUGGCGUUGGGGAUCGGCAGAAGCCCCCUGUGGGCACACGCCGUCCCUCAAAUACAGUGGCGGUCCCGCCGCAGCUUCCAUUGCGUAGUAGCUAACACCUCGCAACUGGAGAGCGGCGCGGCCAUGCCGUAAAACACCCAACUUCUGAAUGUUGACCUCGAAUCAGGUAGGAAUACCCGCUGAACUUAAGCAUAUCAAUAAGCGGAGGAAAAGAAACCAACAGGGAUUGCCCCAGUAACGGCGAGUGAAGCGGCAACAGCUCAAAUUUGAAAUCUGGCCUCGUGCCCGAGUUGUAAUUUGUAGAGGAUGCUUUUGGCGACGCGCCUUCCGAGUUCCCUGGAACGGGACGCCAUAGAGGGUGAGAGCCCCGUCCGGUCGUGCGCCUAGCCUCUGUAAAGCUCCUUCGACGAGUCGAGUUGUUUGGGAAU